rnacentral:rRNA from 1 species
UACGGGGGGGGCAAGCGUUGUUCGGAAUUACUGGGCGUAAAGGGCUCGUAGGUGGCCAACUAAGUCAGACGUGAAAUCCCUCGGCUUAACCGGGGAACUGCGUCUGAUACUGGAUGGCUUGAGUUCGGGAGAGGGAUGCGGAAUUCCAGGUGUAGCGGUGAAAUGCGUAGAUAUCUGGAGGAACACCGGUGGCGAAGGCGGCAUCCUGGACCGAUACUGACGCUGAGACGCGACAGCGUGGGGAGCAAACAGG